AGUCAGGUCCGUACGGCAGGAGCUUGUGAACCCCGCCAGGCCCGGAAGGGAGCAACGGUAACAAACCCUCCUGAGCGUUGCGGAAAACCUGACUAGC
rnacentral:SRP_RNA from 1 species